rnacentral:lncRNA from 1 species
GGGAUAUAAAGGAGAGAGAUGGGAUAAUGUAAGAACCACAGUGGUGUGUCAGAGUAGAACCAGCUUCCAUCACACCAGUGAAACCAGUGACCCUAGCCGGAGCUUGGAGAGAGCUACAGCAGGGUUAAGAAGACCAGCAGCUGAACUAACAGACGGUAACCAAGGAAACCUUUCUGCCAGCAACAGUAACCCUGUGAACGACACUUCAAAUCCAGUACAGCAGAUGGAUCCCGUUGCCAUGGAGAUUAGCUCAUCCCCACCAAUGACAGACCUGGAAAGAGAAAACAUUGUUAGCUGGCACAGUGAAGAAGUCCAAGAACUCCAUUACCCAGAGGAUCCAGAGAUGCAGCAGCCAAUAAAAGACCAGCAGGAGGAAGAGGAGGCUGAAGCUGAUGGAGAAGAGUGUGACUAUCUUGUUUUUGAGAUUGGAGCAAAGGAAGAAAGGGACAGUGAUGGGGAAGAGAUGGAAAGAGAAGCACAGGAGGAAGGUGAUAAAGAUACAGGAAGAAGGGGAGAUGUAGACAGACAAAACGAGGCAGAAAGAGAGAACAUUGUAGAUCUAAGCUAUACAUGUGAAGGAAAAGAAGAGGAUGGAGAGAUGAUGGGAACAGUAGAAGCUGAUGCUGGGGCAGAGCCACUUAUCCCCUCUAAUGGGCCUUCAACCCCCUCACCUCCGGAACAGCUGAUGGAAACUAGAAUUUCAGAGAAUCUAAAGGUCACAGACCAAGACGACCUUGGCGACUGCCUCCAGGCCGAGCUUGCUGUUGUGUACUCGGACAGUGACACAGGGGACGACCAGUGGGCUUCCCUUACUGCCUGUGAUGUCUUACACCAGAAUGAUGGAGCUGUAGAACUUUCUGACAUCAUUUGUGAUGGAGAGAACAGAGAAGAGGGAGGAAGAAGAGAGGAGUUGCAGAGAGGACGAUUUUGAUGAUCAGAUGACAUCGAGGACGGGCGUGCUCAUGAGAUCGCCUUCAUUUAGCUCGACAGCCAGUUCUACAGACCCUGACAAGAGGAUCCCUGUAGAUUUCUGUGUCCAACAAGACACCCUCAGUGAGAACGUCUCCACUGAGCACGUGGACUUUCUCUUGGCCCGCCAACAAUGGAGGAAAAUGGAGGAGGAGGUUCGAGGACAUCCCAUCCCUAAACCAGGCCUGAGAGCUCAGGGGAGCUUCCAGGGCACCCACUCUACAUUGUACCCACCGACCCGCAGUCCCCGGCUGAAACACAGGGAGAUCCAUUCACCAAUUCCUAAGGAGCCCCCACUCUCAUCCACCAUGUCCCCCAGCUCUGAGGACUCAGGUCUGGAUGACCUGUCAUACCGAAGCCCCCUGGAGGAGCCGGAGACAGCAGUAGAGAGAGAGAUCCGGCUGACUUUAGAGAGAGAGGCGCGACACCGCAGGGAGAGAGGGAUAGUGGCACAAGGCCUAACUAUUCCCAGGCCCUCCACCCUGCAGACCGGACGAGCUCCUCCCAGACCUCCAGCCUGUCGUACCCCAUCUUUAUCUGUCUCCCCGUCCCCUUCCUCCUCUUCUCCUCUUCCCAGAUCUGUGUACCAUGAGAUGACAGCCAACAAUGUCAUUAUUCUGGAGCCCGACUGCUCUGCCUCCACUUCCAGGAACCGCAUGCUUUCCACUGCUGGGGGCCCAUUAAGCCUGGACACUGUGUCAUCUGCCAAUGUCAUUGUUGUGGAAACCUCCAAUCUGAUCAUUCGCAGCGCUUCAGAAUUCUGUCUAAGCUCUGCUCCCGUGUCCAUUGAAGCCCAGGAAAGCACUUUCACAUCAAACCCAUUUUUCAAGCUGCGAUCUCUUAGUAGCCAGUCUCUGGUAGAGCAAGAGAUUCGGGUAGUAAGGCAGAGGGAAGAGGAGUGGAAGAGGCAGAGGGAGGAGAUGUGGAGACGGAGGAGGGAGGAUGAGUGGAGGAGAGGAAAAGAGAGGUAUGAUACCGUGUUGGUGUCUCCUAGCCUGAGUGAUGCCGUCAGUUUCAAUGUGCCAGAGGUUCCAGACAGAUGUGUCUCCUCUCCAUCAUCCCCCUCUAGGACCCGAAAAAUAGAACGAUCCAGUUUGUCGUGUGACCAUAAGGUUAGCAGCCACGUGUGCAGCAAUUAUACUCAUAUUAGGAACAGUAUCAAAUGCAUUGGCUCAUUAAGUCACUCAUUCAUUUAUGUAUUUAUUUAG